rnacentral:lncRNA from 1 species
AAAAAAUUCAAAUAAGUUGGUUUCCAAACGGAGCCAUAGUGCAACUUUUUAUAUUAACGUAUACAAGUGGAUUGGGUAUACUAAUAACCGCGACUCUUGUACUUAAAAAGGUUAUUUUAGGUGAGAACAAGGCUUAGCCCAAAUGGUAAAGGGCAGUCUUACCAGGACUUAGGUCCUGGGAUCGAUUCUCACUCCCGCUCUCGGGUACAAGGCGCAGUCGUUUCAGGUAGACGUCAGGUACACGAGAUAACACUCGGAGGUAUCGCGUUCGAUUCCUGAUAGCAUGAAGAUUAGUUUGGAUGAACCUAAAAGCCUAUCUAGGACACUAUGGUUAAUAAUAAUUAAAAAAAAGUUAUUUUAGGUAAGUAGGCGUGUUGAGACCACGUGGAGAUGCGUACAACUUUACUUUGAGCAUGGGUGCGUGUCUCUUUCCUUGCCUUUCC